CGUCGCGACGGCGCACGGGUGAGUAACACGUAUCCAACCUGCCGAUGACUCGGGGAUAGCCUUUCGAAAGAAAGAUUAAUACCCGAUGGCAUAGUUCUUCCGCAUGGUAGAACUAUUAAAGAAUUUCGGUCAUCGAUGGGGAUGCGUUCCAUUAGCUUGUUGGCGGGGUAACGGCCCACCAAGGCAUCGAUGGAUAGGGGUUCUGAGAGGAAGGUCCCCCACAUUGGAACUGAGACACGGUCCAAACUCCUACGGAAGGCAGCAG
rnacentral:rRNA from 1 species